rnacentral:tRNA from 1 species
AUUAAAAUAGUUUAUCUAAAAUUAGAAAUAGUGGGUUUCUAGAUCCUGUAUAGGUUUUAAUU